GAGCUCAGGACCUGACCUGAGUUGGGUUAUGAGCUUGAGCCCAAGUCAGAUGCUUGGGGUGCUUGCAGUCUUGAUGCUUCACCGACGGAGCCUUCUAGGCGCCCCACGGGUUCGCAUUUCUUAGUGAUGGCCUCAGUGCUUUCUCUGCAGGAGGGGAGGGAAGUGGGGCUGCAGUGGUCAACCAUUGCCUGACCUCCCCAUUUCCUGCCAGCAGGUACAAGGGAGCUCACAGGGGCCUAAGGCCAGUGCUACUCAGAGGUGUCUUUGGGGAAAAAAAAGAAAAAAGAACAUCACUCCAGGGCUGCCUGGGUAGCUGAGUGGUUGAGCGUCCGACUUUGGCCCAGGUCAUGAUCUCAGGGUUCCUGAGUGUAAGACCCACCUCCUGCUCUGGGCUGACAGCUCUGAGCCUGGAGCCUGCUUUGCAUCAUGUGUCUCCCUCUCUGCACUGCGCCCGCUCUCUCUUUCAAAAAAUAAAUAAGAACCAUUAAAAAAUAAAAAAAAGAAAAAGAAAAACACUCUGAAAGGAGGGGAUUAUAUGGAAAAGACAAAAAGAAUCACAGGGCGAUUUGGUUGGGUUCCCACAGCGUCCCCGUGGGUUGGGGGAAAGGGGACUCUCACACAACAGGAACUCAGGAAACAUGCACACAGGGAUUGGAGCAUAUGGAAGGCAUUUCACACAUCUGUAAACAUUUUGCCUAACGUGGAAAUCGUGGUAUGUGCUUGGCCGUCAUAAGGUGCCUGAAUCAGGAAAUCUGGAGGUACUCUCCCUGAGGAAAGGAUGGGGCAACCACCUUUGUCCUUGCAGAUGCAGAGCCAUUCUGAGCCCUGAGAGAAUCUUACAUGUGGACUGACAUUCCUCAAGAUCAACGCAGAGACCCUACACUUUUAAGUUUGUUGGGUUUCCCGUGUGUGGCCAGAGGUCCCCUUGGCGGAGAACAGUUGACACGCGGAGUACAGAAGUAGGCCAAGAAACAGAAUAUUACCUGGAUAUACCACAUUACUUACCGCCCUCACUAGUCUCACUGAACAUGGGAGUGGGCAUUUGAAUACCUGGUAUCCAACAAGGUUUAUGGGGGAAAAAAAAUGGAAAGUUUGGGUUAAUAGUUUAAAUUGUUGUGUCCACAUUGAAUUCCAUGGGCAGUGAAGAAAGUUUUCUAGGUUCUGAGUGUGGAAAUGAAGGGCUAAAGGAUAAAAAACAAUUCUACAACUCAAUGUAACUUUGGUAACUUAGUAUCUUUCACACUUGACACAGUUUUCUUUCAUUUUGUCUGACGCCCUGCUCCCGUGAGUAAGUCUAAAUGUAUUUGUACAAGAAAGUUGCUAUCAAUACGAAACAUAAAAUCCAUACCAUUGCGUUUGGCCCUGCUUAUUCCUAACGGUAUUUUAGGCUGGUUUCUAACUGCUUGUAGCCACGUUAUGGCUCCCUCUGAAGGCAGCCCAUUCUAGCCACAGGCACACUUCUCCUUGGCCCCACCUCUAGUCUAGGUUAAGCAGACCCUCUGAGCUGGCUCCCUCACUGGGGGAAGGAUGUAGGUCAGGCAGGUAAUAAAGGGAAAUGGAGAGAGGACGCUUAAACCAGGCAUUGUCAUGAGUGGGAUGGACAAUGUGGGAGGACCAUGGCAUUGCUAAAGUAACAUGCCUGGCGAUAUCUCUCGCUCGCUCUCUCUCUCUCUCUCUCUCUGCAAACUUGCACUGCCCAAUGAGCAAUGCUGGAAGAAACCAUUGUAUCUCUUCUCGGAGGAAGAAAAUUGGAUUCCUGCUGAUUUAUAAGCUCAGCCUAAAAACUCCACCCAGACAAUUUGGACAGAAGAACAGGAACUGGGUUCCUUGCAGUUGCUCAGUUCCUUCAGUGACGCUGGCCUGGAAAGAAAGAAAGUGCACCUGUCAGGAGGCUGGGAAACGCAUUAAGUGAAGAGUCAACCGUGAUUUUCAUUGCACGAGGAGGAAAAAGAGCCCUGAAUUCCAUUACUGGUAAUCAGGGAAGGGAGUGUUGUUCUUACACUGGGUUUCUAGGCAACAUUUCUUUCUUACUGCAUCCUAUAGUAUAAAAAUUGUGAGACACUUGGAUCCAGAAGAGGGAGUAUUCAUCGAA